CCCUUAGAUGUUCUGGGAUGCACGCGCGUUACACUGAUUCGUUCAACGAGUUUAUGACCUUGCCUGAUGAGGUGGGGGAAUCUUUUCAAAUCGCAUCGUGAUGGGGAUAGAGUAUUGUAACUGUUAGUCUUCAACGAGGAAUUCCUAGUAAGUACGUGUCAUCAGCUCGUACUGAUUAUGUCCCUGCCCUUUGUACACACCGCCCGUCGCUCCUACCGAUUGAGUGCUCAGGUGAAUAGUAUGGACUGCAUCAGUGUUCGGUCUCCGAAUGUUGACGCGAGAAAUUCUGUGAAUCUUAUCACUUAGAGGAAGGAGAAGUCGUAACA
rnacentral:rRNA from 1 species